rfam:Salmo salar isolate Sally breed double haploid chromosome ssa01, whole genome shotgun sequence.
UGCAUUCACUACUGUAAGUCACUCUGGAUACGAGUGUCUGCUAAAUGACUAAAA